AGUAAACAGCACUCCUCCACAGCCUCUGCAUCAGCUCCUGCUCCAGGUUCCUGCCUCAUGUUUGGCUGAAAGUGGAUAAAGCUCUAUUGUAAGAGACCCCGUGGGGUAGAAAGCAGGAAGAGCUGUGUAGUUUGAAGCAACAAGCCAGAAAGACAUAUCCUAUGUUCCUGGCCUGUGUGUACCUCUGUACCUGGGGACCAUUCAUGUUCCUUCAUGGACCAGAUCACAUCUACUGGCGUGGAGACCAGAGGCCAGAUUUAAGCUUUUCUUGCAGUCUCCGUGACAUUGGGCUGUAUGUGCCUCAUUAGAUGGGAUUCCAUCCAGUGCGUCCCAGGAACCGCCCUGCCAUCUCACUUAAGAUUCUUAGCAACCUGUCAUCCUGGGUCACAGACGCUCGUUCGCUCACUCCAUCGUGGACCAGCAGCUGUCAGCCAGUGCUGCCCACAGCUGUGUUCUCUGCCUCAUGCUGCUUUGCAGACCAUUGAAAGCAUCUCCCGCUCAGUGAGGUCUGGAUUUGAACCCAGGCCCCAUGCAUGCUAAUGGGGAGUGAAGUGCCACAGCCCAGGGUCUUCUUUUGACAGCCUAGUCCGUCCACCUUGUCCACAAGAUGUCCAGGUUAGGCCUGAGCCUAACCUGCUUCCCUUCCCCUUGCCAACUGCUCUCCAUCUAUGAAUGGUCCCCGGGAAUUAGGAAGAAUGGGGUGGGAGUGGGAUUGGCCACUCCUAGGAGUCUGGUGUUUGUUUCAUCUCCUCUAUAAAUGGUGUAAGAAAGAUGUCCCAGCAAGACGUAGUAGCACACAUCUGGGAUACUAGCACUCAAGAGGUAGAGGCAAGGGUUAUCCUGAGCUACAUAGCCUAUCCAAAACCAGUCUGGGUUACAGGAGACCCUGGUUUUAUUCAUUCAUUCAUUUAUGAUAUUCUCUUUAUCCAGUUCCAACCUAAACUAAAUAAAUUAAAAUUUCAGUUUC